GACAAACGCUGGCGGCGUGCUUAACACAUGCAAGUCGAACGGAAAGGCCCUUGCUUGCAAGGGUACUCGAGUGGCGAACGGGUGAGUAACACGUGAGUGAUCUGCCAUGUACUCUGGGAUAAGCCUGGGAAACUGGGUCUAAUACUGGAUAGGAGCCUCCUUUAGUGUGGGGGUUGGAAAGUUUUUUCGGUACAUGAUGAGCUCGCGGCCUAUCAGCUUGUUGGUGAGGUAAUGGCUUACCAAGGCGUCGACGGGUAGCCGGCCUGAGAGGGUGUACGGCCACAUUGGGACUGAGACACGGCCCAGACUCCUACGGGAGGCAGCAGUGGGGAAUAUUGCACAAUGGGCGCAAGCCUGAUGCAGCGACGCCGCGUGGGGGAUGACGGCCUUCGGGUUGUAAACUCCUUUCGGUUGGGACGAAGCCUUCGGGUGACGGUACCUUCAGAAGAAGCACCGGCUAACUACGUGCCAGCAGCCGCGGUAA
rnacentral:rRNA from 1 species